CAGCAGCCGCGGUAAUACGAAGGGUGCAAGCGUUAAUCGGAAUUACUGGGCGUAAAGCGUGCGUAGGCGGUUUGUUAAGUCUGCUGUGAAAUCCCCGGGCUCAACCUGGGAAUGGCAGUGGAUACUGGCAAGCUAGAGUGUGUCAGAGGAUGGUGGAAUUCCGCGUGUAGCAGUGAAAUGCGUAGAGAUGUGGAGGAAUACCGAUGGCGAAGGCAGCCCCCUGGGCCAAUACUGACGCUCAUGCACGAAAGCGUGGGGAGCAAACAGGAUUAGAUACCCGCGUAGUCCCUGUCUCUUAUAC
rnacentral:rRNA from 1 species